GUGGGAGUUCUCCCUGUCCUUUCCUACGUUAAGGUCUCCUGUUUCCUAUCAAGAUAAUGAAGAAGAGGCGGCACAAGCUUACGAUCGUGCUGCAUUGAUUUAUCGUGGCUCUCGAGCGGUGACCAAUUUCAACAUCAAUCAAUACACGGAGGUUCGAACACUGUCAUCAGAACCGUUGCCACUACCCUCACAACAUCAAAACUUAGUUCAUCCCAUAACGCUCUCUAAUCCAACUUGUUCCUUUGGUGGAACAAUGGCGAUGGUUGAUGACAAUAACGAACUCUCGUGGAGCGGCUCGCGAAUGGGCUCGAGCUAUGAAACCUUCUCCAUCUCUGAUUUGUUCUUUGACUUUAAUGUAUCUGAUGAUCAUGUUGGAGGACUCAUCAAUGACAUUGGAGAACUCAUUGAUGACAUCGAAAGGCUCUUUGAUGAAUCAUGGGUCGAUCAUUUCAGUGUGAAUGGUGAGGACAAUGAGAAGUCAAUGGCAGCUAUUUCAUCUGGUUCUGAUGAAA